GUUGAUAUCGUAUCAACACUACAUUAGUGUGGGCUAUAGUAUGCGUUUAUAAGGGACAACGGGCUGGAAUUGUUGUUAUAUCUUCCGCGACUACGCUUGAACAAUCUACUUCCGAUGUCAAACUCGACAGAACUGCGCAUGCGUGACCCCUCGAAAAGGAGCGCUCGAAUUGUAGUUCGGCAGUACCGUAACAGACAGGGAGCAGAACCACAGACUGGACUUCAUGUAUGAAGGCAGAUUUGAGCGUCUGUGUAUUAGCUAGUGAGGAUUUGUAUUCGAUCAACACCAACAUUGGUUUAGUUCCCGGCAUGGCGGAGGGCGGCAGCAGCAGCGCCGCAGCGGCCAGCCUACCCCCGGGGGACCCGCAGCUCAUCGCCCUCAUCGUGGAGCACCUGAAGAACCGAGGGCUUUUUGAUGAGUUCCGCAGAGAUUGUCUGGCAGAUGUGGACACUAAGCCUGCCUAUCAGAACCUGCGCCAGAGAGUGGACAACUACGUGUCCACGCAGUUGAGCACGCAGGAGUGGAACGCGUCCAUCAACAAGAACCAGAUGAGGAACGGUCUCCGGCAGAGUGUUGUCCAAUCGUGUAUGCUGGAAUCUGGCGUGGACCGGAUCAUUACUCAAGUGGUGGAUCCUAAAAUGAACCACACGUUUCGGCCGCUCAUUGAAACGGCCAUUCAUGAUUUUCUGUCGGGGGAAAGGAAGGAGGAAAUCCAUGCAGAUUCUAAUCUUACACCUUCAGAGCCGCUGGAUCAGCCGGAGGUCCCCCCUUCUGCAGGCCCCACAACCCCCUGAGGUCAAGACCAAAGACGCUUACAGUGUCAGGAUUACUGCACUACAUUCACACCAGUUCCUGCUGUGAUUGGAUGUCUGCAUAGAAGCUCUUUGACCGGUCACAUGGUGUCAUGUAAAGUUGGCUCCACAAUGGGUUCCUGCUGGAGAGACGGUUCCGAUGGUGAAAGGUGGUCUGAGGCAGCAGCUCUCUGCCAGACGUGUCUAUGGGGGGACAGGCUGGAACACAUGCAGGGAGCUGUGCCAUGAGAUGUUUUGGAAAUAGUUUUUAUAUUCAACUUUUAGGUCGGUCUGACUUAUUUUAAUUUUUUAUGGAUUAAAUGUAUGCAUUAGUUAUUUUGUAUAUUUCGUGCAAUAAAUACAUUGAAUGAAAAACAUUGAA